UACGUAGGGUGCGAGCGUUGUCCGGAAUUAUUGGGCGUAAAGGGCUCGUAGGCGGUUUGUCGCGUCGGGAGUGAAAACGCCGUGCUUAACACGGCGCUUGCUUUCGAUACGGGCAGACUAGAGGUAUGCAGGGGAGAACGGAAUUCCUGGUGUAGCGGUGAAAUGCGCAGAUAUCAGGAAGAACACCCGUGGCGAAGGCGGCUCUCUGGUACGUGACUGACGCUGAGACGCGAAAGCGUGGGGAGCGAACAGG
rnacentral:rRNA from 1 species